GCUUACGGCCAUACCACCCUGAGCACGCCCGAUCUCGUCCGAUCUCGGAAGCUAAGCAGGGUCGGGCCUGGUUAGUACUUGGAUGGGAGAACGCCUGGGAAUACCAGGUGCUGUAACCU
rnacentral:rRNA from 1 species